rnacentral:misc_RNA from 1 species
AACCAUUCUCACCUGCGGCUAGACCUGCGGAAGGAUCAUUACCGAGUUAUACAACUCAUCAACCCCUGUGAACUUACCUACAACGUUGCUUCGGCGGGAACAGACGGCCCCGUAAAACGGGCCGCCCCCGCCAGAGGACCCCUAACUCUGUUUUUAUAAUGUUUUUCUGAGUAAACAAGCAAAUAAAUUAAAACUUUCAACAAUGGAUCU